rnacentral:rRNA from 1 species
GAUGAACGCUGGCGGCGUGCCUAACACAUGCAAGUCGAACGGAAAGGCACUGAUUUUGUGGGGUUCUUGAGUGCCGAACGCGUGAGUAACACGUGAGUAACCUGCUCUUGUCUUUGGGAUAACUUCAGGAAACUGGGGCUAAUACAGUAUAGGAUCUCCUGCUGCAUGGUGGGGGUUGGAAAGUUUCGGCGGUUGGGGAUGGAUUAGCGGCUUAUCAGCUUGUUAGUGGGGUAGUGGCUUACCCAGGCUUUGACGGAUAGGCGGCCUGAGAGGGGGAACGGCCACAUGGGUACUAAGAGAGGGCCCAGACGCGUACGGUAGGCAGCAGUGGGGAGUAUUGCACAAUGAGCGGAAGCCUGAUGCAGCGACGCCGCGUUCGUGAUGACGGCCUUCUGGUUGAGAACCGCUUUCGCCUGAGACGAAGCGGUAGUGACGGUAAUGAGUAAAGAAGCACCGGCUAACUACGUG